GAGUCUUUCCGGUUUCGCCGGCGAUCUACAUCGGAUGCUUACGAGAAGGGGAAUGGGGUUGGACCAAGGAGCCCUCGUCCUCCUUACGACGUGUGAGAUCUGAUCCUGGAGAUCUGGUUAUCUGGUUGCACCAGCACCCUAGCUUCUGGCUUCUUUUUCCAUGUAUCAAUCCCACCUCCCAUGAUCAUGUACGUGAGGAGGAGCUACAUAAAGAUAUGAAUAUGUGUGUGUGUGUAGUGUUUGCUUGUGGGUUGUGCAUGUGGCUAAGCUAGCCCUGUAAAUAUGGGGAUCUCUGCAUGCAUGCAUGCAUGCAUGGAUCCUAGUAGUCUGUUUUGUAAUCAGUAGACUCUGUAGUUUGUAAUGUAGAAGUCUGCUAUCUGUAUCCAUAGGAGGAGGAGGAGAGGAGAGGAGAGGAGAGGAGAGGAGAGGAGAGGAGGUUUUGUGGUGAGUUCCCUUUUGGUGGUGUAAUGUGAUAAUGUAGUGUAAUAAAAAAGAAGUCUGUGUUGAUCCCAUUAUGAUGUGUUUGAUUUGAUUUUGAUUUUGAUUUUGAUUUUGACAUUGGUAUUGAUUUGGGGUCUUUUGCUUAGGAAAGAAGUGGCAAAUGAAACUUGGUGGGGUUGGGGUUAUAAUGAGGCCAUCAAGAAUGGUGGACCAUCAACUCUGAGAGGAUAUAGGAGUACUAGGUGCUUUGUUUUGUAAGCAUGGAGCAUGGUGGGUGGUGGGUGGUGGGUGGUGGGUGGAUGGUGGGUGGAUUCUGUGAUUGUAGGCCUCACUUGGGACCUUUUGGCUAUUUGGUUCACGAUGUCCUGUGUGUCCACUUCAUUUGUAUGUGUUUUCCCUACAUGACCGCCUUUACGCUUUACGCAUUGCGAUUGGGACAUGGAAAUGAAUCAUAGUAUUUGAAGAAUCUUAUGUUAAAAAAUAAUAGUAAAUAUAUAAAAAAAAAUUGAAAAAUAACAGUAAUGGAAAAUAAAAAUAAAAUUUUUAUUUUCAUUCUUUAUUUUAAUUAUUUUCUCUUUCCUAUUUUAAUAUUUCAUAAUAAUGUGAUUAAAAAUGAAAAAUGAAAUAAAUCGGCAAUAAUAACCUUUUGUAAAGUUUAAAAUAAUUUUUUAUUUUCAUUUUAAAAGAAUAUAUAUAGUAAGAGUUUUUCUUUGAAGAAAAUAAUAUUUACAUGUCAUUUGAAAAUGAAUGGAUAAAAUAGUAUAUAUAUUUCAUUUUGUGGAUGAAUUGAAAUAUCUCAUUUAUGAAUAAGAUUUUAUUUUAUACAAUUAUUUUUUAUUUUAUUAUUAUUAUUAUUAUUUAAAUUAUACAAACUUGAAAAUGGAUGAGAAAAGGAAUGGGAAUAUCCAUCUCUAUUCCUCCUCUUCCCUUCUCUUGUAUCAAACAUGACUUAAGAGUUAGACUUAGAGGUGAUUGAUAAUCUUUUAGAAUAUUAAUUAUAAUAAUUUGUAGAUUCUUUACAUGUAAAUGUAAAAAGUAAAUGGAGAAAAAGGAAAGGGGUGAUAGGGAUUUCAUUCAAGUGUAAUGAUAUGAAAAUUUUAUAAUUUUGUAAAUACGAGUUUCAAACUAUUUGGUUAAAAAGGGAUAAAAGGAAUUUGAAAUAAAAUGAAUAUUAUUAAUAUUGAGGAAAUGUUUAAAUAUACUUUUCUUCUUUUAAUCUUUGACAUAUUUUACAUUUUGUGCUAUCACGUUUAAAAUUCAAUAUUUUCUCCUCCAAACUUAUUAAAAACUAAGGGCUUGUUUGGGAAGUAUUUGCCAAAAUUGUUUCUGUUCUCUAAAACAUAAAAACAUGAAAAAGUAUAUUUAGUAAUCAAGUAUUGUUCUUUUUUUAUGUUUUAUGUGUUCUCAAAAUCUUAUUUUUGGAUAACAUCUUUAAAUUAUAAAAGAUAUCGUCCUUUUUCAUACUUUGAUUUGAGCAUUAGUUUGAAAUUGAGUAACAUCAACUUUAAAUUUGUAGCAUUAAAGCAAAAUUUUACAAACAUUUUCAAAAUAUGGUAAUUAUUAAUUUUGAAUUUUGAUUUUAGAAAGAUGUUUGUAUGACAAUGUAUGAUUUUUGCAUAUAACUAGGAAGUGUGACAACUUCGAACUUAUGUUUUUAAUUUUUUAUUUUAUUUUAGCCUUAUUUAUUCACUUAACAAAUUGUUCAUAUAUAUUAAAGUUUGGAGAGCAUUUUGCAUUUAACUAAAUUUGGAGAGAAAAGUAUAAAACAAAUAAAAAAUUAGGGAGUUAAAAUAUAUUUAACCUUUAGAGAAAUUGAUGUAAAUGGCAUGAAUAUCAUUUUAAAUAUAUUAAUAAAUGAGAAAUGAAAAUAGAUUUUUUGAACUUUCAACCAUGUCUUAAAAUUAUUGAUCAUCGUUACUGAAUUAUCUUAAAUGAAUUAUUUUGUUUUGAAUAGUUUUUCUUAUUGAAUUAUUGGAGGAGUUUUCCAUCACAUCUUUAAAAGUCAAAUACUGAUGACAUUAACUAUGAUAAUUUUUUUCUAGAAAUGAAAAGAUCAUGGAAGAAAAUAUUGUAAAAAUAUUAUAUGUAAAUAUCAACUCUCGAUUAUAUAAAUAUUGUUUGUUUUGAUCCCAAUGAGUUCUUAAUACUCUAAAAUUCGUCUAUAAGACUAAGAUAAAUUCGUAUAUAUGUAGUUCUAAAAAUUUUCUUCCUUGUUUAAUGUGAGAUAUCAUAAUCACCUUUAUACAAAUAUGGUGUUCUUGUUGUGUUUCAUAAGAUUAUGGGGUCAAGGGUCUAAUAAACAAAGACUCACAUCAAGGCUACAUAUUAACUUUGAUACCAUUUGUAAUGAUUUACUUUCAAUCAUAUAGAUAUUAUUUAUUUUGAACUCAAUGAACCUCGUAAUUUUAAGAUGCAUUUACAAAGUUAAGAUGAUUUUAUAUAUAUAUAACUCAAGGAUUUUAUCGUGAUAUCCUACAGGAGAAAUUUUUUUAUGCUAUAUUAGUAUGAACUCCUUUUAACUAUAUAAACACGUUUUAAAGUUACGAUGACCUCUUAGGCCCAGAGUAAACAAUGUUUGCACGAUUAGGAACAGGUUGUGAUAAAUGAUAUCAUAAUUGAUCCUUGACCCUGGUGUAGAGUUUGGUUAGGUUCAUAAAAGAGAAUGUUUACACGAUUGAGACUGAGUUGAUAUUUGUGAAUAAAGAAUAUUUUAUUAAAGUAGAUAAAGAUAAAAUAAUUUUUAAUUUUGACUUUGUGAACAUAAAAACAUUAAUUAUAUCAGUACCUUUCAUAUUAAUGUUGAAUGUUAAGAAUUUUUGUAUUUAAUAAAUAUUGAUCAAUUUUUAUUAGCAAAAUUAGUAAGGUUCUCUCUUCAAACAUUAUUAUUUCUCUUUUAUAUUAUAAAAAAAAAGAUAAUUAAAAAUAAUUUUAUCCAAACAAUAUUCUUAAGUUUCUAAAAAGUAAUUUUUUUUAAAGAAAUAAAAAUAUUCUUUUAAUAACAAUAUAUACGAAAACUAUCUCUAUUUUCAAUUGGAUAAAUUUGUUCAUAGACCAAAAAAGAAAAAAAGUAAGAAAGAAAAAUUAAAUCAAUGAAAAAUGAGAUAUUUGUAUUCAUUGUUUCAUCAUUAGAAGUAAUAUUUCAAGUACUAAGAAAUUUACAUUUUAGGUGAUGCCAUCAUUUAUUUUCUUGAUUUUAAAUAUUUAUUAUAUUUAAUAUGUAACAAAAUAUUUGAAAUGUAUUUUAAUAUAAAUAAUUAUUUCUUUUAUCAAUGUAGAAUAAGAGCACUUCAAAAAGAAUUUUCAAAUUUUCACUUGGGUUUUAUAAACCCUGGCCCAAUCCAAAUUUCAGUGGAUUCCAUUUCCAACCCGACCCGAGCCCACUCAUGCAAUGGGUUUCCCGGUAAUCGGGUCAUACAGGUCUUUGUGUUCUGUUUGGAUUAUGAGAAAGAAAAACCCCCGAGCGAGUCAAGUGACUUUGUACGUAGAAUCCGUUCUUGAAGAAGAGAAUGGAUUGGAAAGCUGUGUUGUUUCUGCUAUUAUUGUUUAAUCUCCAAAUCCUUUUUUCCUCUGGUAAGCUUCUUUCUCUUCUCAUCCAUCUCUACGUUCAACCCUUUUACUUUCUAUUAUGGCAAAGCUCUGUAUUUUUUUUUGUUGGGUGGGUUAGGGUUUCAUGUACUACAAUAGCAAAUCUCAGAACGUUUGUGCUUUGUUCUAUGAUUAUUUAUUUAUUUAUUUUUGGGUAAGUUUUAGGUUCUUGUUUUGGAUGUGGGUGAGUGUUGAAAUCGUCUAUUAUUGAGAAUCAGGCCAUAAUUUUUGAGAGUUUUGUCAUAUGUAAAUGUUUUCUGUUGUGUUUUCUUCUAUGGCGUGUUUCCCUGCUGGGACUUGAGUUGUGGGGUAGACUUUGAUUCUAUACUUGUGUUUUGGAUUUGGGUAAGUCUUGAAAGCGUCUAUUUUUAAGAAUCAGGCCAUAAACAUGGAUGAUUCUAGCAUACGGGUGUAUGCUUUAUCUUGUGUUUCCUUCUAGGUGUGUUUCUAUAUCAUGGUAAAACUAGCUUCUUUUUUUUUUUUUUGUGUUUUUGGUCAGGACUUCAUAUACUACAAUAGCGAAUCCCAAGAAGGUUUCUGCUUUUUCUGUACUUACUUUUUGGAUUUGGGUAAGUUUUAGAUACAUAUAUUGGAUGUGGGCGAGUCUUGAAAUAAGCUAUUGUAGAGAAUGUAGCUGCAGUUUUGAAGAGUUUUAUCAUAUGCGCAUGCUUCUUUGUUGAGUUUUUCUCAAUGGUAUGUUUCCCUGAUGGGGGCUUGGGUUCUGGGGUAGACUUUGAUUCUAUAGUUAUAUUUUGGACUUGUGAAUGUCUAGAAAUUAUAUUUUGGGUUUGGGUGAGUCUUGAAAUCAUCCAUUGUUGAGAAUCAGGCCAUGAACAUUGAAGUUUUAUCAUACAUGUAUGUUUUAUCUCGGGUUUUCUUCUAGGUAUGUUUCACUGAGGGGACUCAGGAUGUGGGGUGGAGUCUGAAUCUAUACUUAAUUUUUGAAUUUUGUUAAGUCUUAGAAUCACCUAAUGUUGAGAACCAGAAGAUAAUUUUAAGAGUUUUAUGAUAUAUGCAUGUUCUCUUUGAUUGUAUGUUUCAUUGAUGUGGGUAGAAUCUGAUUCUAAAUUGUUAAAGGAUUGGAUUUGGGGACUUUUGGCACAUUAAUUAGGUUAUAAUACAGUUAGUAUUGGUGCAUGAUUGCCGUUAGUGUUGCGGAACCAUUGAAAGAGAGCAGGCAGUUUGAUUGGAAGAGAUAGUGGAAUCUCUAUCCUCUCGAUAUGUCCAGGAGAGGUGGGCUUGCCUUAUUUGAACCCUAGGAUAGCAUUGCAUUGUAUGGCAUGCCAAAUGGGGCAAGGCUUGAUAAAUGUACUUGAGGAAAUUUUACAGGUAGCGGAUGAUGAAUUUGUUCUUUGUAAGGGGGCUCUUUAUUCAGUUACUAUAUGUUGAUUAUGCCUAGGAUGAAAGUGACAGGAUGUAAGGUAGUUGUUGGAACUGAAGUGACCAAGGAUAACAUGCAGAGUCCAAAAGCAACAGUCUUUCAAUAUUGGGAUGCUCUUGGUAUCAUGGAUUGUGACAUGUGCUAGACUAGGGGUGUUGAAGAGUUGAAUAGGUUUUCUAACGUUUAUUCGUAUAUGAACUCUAAAAAUUAGAGUGAAAAUAGCCUAAGAUUGAAUGGUUAAGUUCUAAGUUAAGGCAUGGAAUUUUUUGUUUUUUUUUUAUUAUAUCCCAUUGCCUUGUUUUAACCUUUUAGCUCCCUUGUAUGCUUUUGUGUGCUCUUUUGUUAGGUGUUGUUAAUAUAAUUGAUCUUUGCCUAUAAAAAAGAAAAAAGAAAAAGAAGAAAAAGAAGAUUGAAUUCCUAUUUGAAUUUGUGACUAUAUCGCAAUUAAAUCAAUUAAUAUGAAAAGAAAAUAACACGAGGAAAAUAAAAAGAAUUAGGACAUGGUACUUUUUGAGGUGGAAAGACCCUAAGAGAUAAAACCAUUGGACCUCGUCUGGAAAGCAAUCCACCAUAUUAAAAAGGCUUACAAAGAUAUUCUAAUAUUAUCAUCACUACAUCCAAUCCUAAUCCAUAGAUCUGCAACUUGAAUCUUCCUAAAUAUUCUUUUCCAUGUCACCAACUGUCCAUGAUUCCUUGAAUGCUGCUAGCAAGAUUGCUUCAACGAUCUGGAAAUCACCAGAUCAUGCUCUACUGCUAUCAGCAUUUGAUCAUAGGUGACAAAGGUUUUUGGGGAUCCAUUUUCUUUCUAAAAAAUUUCUCUAUAGUGUUUUCAUAAAAAUUAAUGAUUUCUGGGAGAAAUUCUGUCUCAAGGCUUUUUUAGAUUUGAAGAGUUCUAGCAGAGAGAGAUAUGUUUUCCAUCUCUUGAAAACCUUCAAAAUAAGUCUUGAAAAAGUUUUGGAAAUGUUGGAAGUCCAGAAAAAGCAGAUUUAUAUUAAAAAAAUGUGUUUUGCUCUCUCAUCAAUCCAAGGUGGGUUGUGAUUAAUCUAAGAACAAUUAUCCUAUUCAAUGGAUCCAUGCACACCUUGAUCCAAUUGAAGAGCAAAUAAUGAAUUGAUUGAGAUUGACCUUGCAUAUAUCAAAAGAGAGUUUAACUCUUAGCGAGCCCCUCUGCAGAAAUCAAAGUCUUCAGCUUUUAACAACUGCCUUAGAAUCUUGGAUAUCACAAAAGCCUUUUUAAUUUUCUCAAGAUUUUGAAUGUUAUCUGUUUACAGGUAGUUUUUCCAUUGGAUUGGAUGUCCCUUGAUGUUGCUGUACAUCAGUGUUAUGUACAUCUGUUAAGCAUUCAUAGAAUUAUGUUUUCUAAGGGUAUAGCAAGAGGUGUUUGUGGCAAUUGUAGAUAGUAUGAACAUUGCUUUCAACGCAGGCUUGAAGGAGACUAACAACAAUCAGAACCAAUUAGAGACUACCCCUAUUCUGCUUGUUUGGGUGUUAGCAAGCUUCCAAAUGAUAUGUUGUGGAAAAGACAAUACACACUGGUGGUAAGCAUUGCCUUGUUCCAUUGUAUCUAUGUAAGUCGCUCCACUCACACCAGUCUCCUUGUGUUGGGACUCCCAUGGGUUUGUAGACAUCUCUUCCUAUGUUUGCUAGAACAGAAGGUUUUCCUAUUUUUGAAUGUGGAUGUUUUGCUCUGCUUCUAAAGCCUUCUUGAGACAUUGUAGAUUGUAACUAACUAUGGAAUCUUGAUGCUGUGUGGCAAAAAUUGGAAUUUGAAACUUACUUUUCAAUAUUGUCUUUAUAAGUUAAUUCAUAUUUAUUCUUGAGGUUUGAAGGUUUUAGCUCCCUAAACACUUCUGGUAAGUGACCUAAAAUGAUAUUCAACUGAGCUUGUGAUAAACUGUACUAACUGUUUCUACAAAAGGGAAAAAAAACAAAAGAGGAAAAGAGCUCUAUGACCUGUUAUCACUCUGAAAUAAUGAUACCUUGAUUAAUUGUAAUUACUUUGUAAAUAGCUUCUAGCUUUUAAGAUGCUUUGAAUUUAUCUCAAUGUAGGCAAACCUGAUGGAGUAUGUAUCUCUCCGGGUGGACGCUUUCCUCCAUUCUCCUCUGAAGGGAAACCGCCUAAGAAGGUCAGCAAAGGACCCAAAGAUUUGACCCUUUGCAGGGUGUUCCGCAGAAAGACAUGCUGUGAUGUAUCCCAGACACAUCCUGCUUUGCUGUCUAUCAGGAGGCUGGCUUCAACAGGGGAAGCCAGCCAAGAAUGCUUGCAAUUAUGGGAAUUAUUGGAAUGUUCCAUCUGUGAUCCACAUGUUGGUGUUCAGCCUGGACCUCCGGUUAUAUGUACUUCUCUUUGUGAUAAAGUCUUUCAGGCUUGCUCUAAUGCAUACUUCUCUAUGGAUGCAAAAAGGCAGGUUAGUGGAUAAUCUCAGGACUACUAGAUAACAGAAUCCAUCCGAAAAUUGUGAAGAUCUCUGCAUAUGAGAUGAUGCUUCCUUGGAGAUUCUACUCCCUAGACUGAUAUGAUUAGGUUAUGGUACACAAAUCUUUAUGGUUAGACUGAAACUUAAUAAUGUAUGGCUCCAUAAAUGAUUAAAUGGGUGCUUCUAAACUUCAAUAAGGUCUGAAAGCUCCCGAGUUGGACUGCAUAAAAUUGUCCUCACCAUCCCCCUUUAAAUGUUUUCCAGGUUCCCUAUUAUCAUUACUUUUGGACCAGUAGUAUCGUUUUAAAAAAACAGAUAAUAAUGUUCUUUUAUAUAAUGCUUGGCAAAAUUCAUUUCUGAUUAGAUGUUCUAUGCCAGGUUCUAGCACCUUGUGGAGUAGGCGACUUUGUUUGUGGCAGGGCUUCUGAAUGGAUUUCUAAUGGCACAGACCUCUGCCACGCUGUGGGUUUUUCUGUCAAACCUUCUGAUGCUGGCAUGGAAGAAACAUCUUGUUAUGGUGGGAAAGCCAGUCUAGAUUCCAUUGCUGAUUCUUGGAAGGCUUCUCAAUCUGAGACACCAUCGAAAAUUGAGAACGUAGGUGUUUUAGAUGAUUUUCAGCAGUGGGUGAGGGAAAUGGCAUUUAGCGAAAGAGUUUCUUGGGCAGUGGGAGGAAUGGUUCUUACAGCAGGACUCUUGUUUUUAAGGUCAGAUCACUCUCUUUAUUGGCAUUUAUAGUCUCAUUUUUUUUUUUUUUCCAAUUAAUGUUCUAGUUUAGAUGCUGAUGUUUUCAGACUUGCUGGUUUCUUCCUCAAGCUUAACUUGCUUCUAGUUUGUUCAUGUUAAACUCUGGUCCAUGUUUCAAUCUCCUAAUUUCCUAUUGCUAGGCAAUUCUUGAUGUGUCCUCUUCUUUUUUUGUUUCCUCUUCUUAUCUUAAGGUCAUGAAUAUUUAGUGGUUAAUGCUUGGAUGGGACAUGAAUUUUCAUCUGGAUAGUAUCCAUGUAGACUAUGUAUCUGCAUCUAUGAGGGUGCAUGGGUUUGGCCGUUGAGGCAAGGCAACAAGUGGAUGCCUAAAGUGCUUUGAGGGCCCAAUUUCAUGGACUCAUGCCUUGAAGUGAAACUAUAAUGAUGGAAACACAUUGAAUGUACCUCACAUAGUGAUAGGCACACCUGUAAUAAUUCUGCAUGUUCUCCCUGCCUCAUCCUGUGGGGGGGGACAAAACCUUUUCUGGCACCUGCCAUUUUAUGCAAGAGACAAGCCACACCAACCAUCCUUUGCAGUAUUAUUUGUUGGUUGGAAAUAUGGAUUUUUUUUUAAGAUGUAAUUUCAAAUCUGGUGGCUAAUGGGCCGAAUUUGGACUUGGAUAGGGCUUAAAUUAAAUUUCUGAAAAAUUGAAGUAAAGAAAUUAUCAGCUGUAAUUUUGGAAAUUUAGUUGAAAUGCAUACAAUCUAGUGGGAAGAAUUUCUAGAAGUUUGUGAUAUGUAUAUUACUGAUUGGUUGAACUAUUCAGAUGAAUAUUUAGUAACUUUUAGUGAAAUUUGAACCAAAAUAUCUGAAAUUAAAAAAUUCUGGGUCAGAUACCAAGGAUUGUUACCAACCUGUCUGGUAGAAAUGGCAUUCUUGUUUGGCACAAGAACAUGUGAGAUUCAGCUGAGUUGAUUGAUUGUGUGGAAAUCCUACCAUGUGUCAAAUUUAAGAACCAGAAAGUGGGUUUCCCACUCUCGUCCCAAAUUGGUGAUAAAUUUGGCAAUUUGGACAAGUUCAUGUUUUGGUCAGAACAGAUCUAUUCAUCAUUGUUUGGUUAAACCCAAUGUUAGAUUGAACUUCUCUUAUUCCUAAAGAAUUUUGUUAGUUUGACUUGUUUGCCAAGUGUGCCCACUGUCAAGGGCUUGAUGUUUAAUGUAAUUCAUCCAUGGCCAUGUGAUGGAGGACUUAAUGUCAUGCAAUUUAUCUGUGCUCAACUCAGUUAUGACUACUUGGAACAGUCCUUAUCAUACACAGAUCAGCUUUCACUGUAAUCAGGGUAGGAUUUCUAAUACCUAUUUUGUUCUUAUGUUAUUUUCCUUGAUAAUAUUUAUAUCCCGCCUUUUUUUUCUUGGCAAUGAGAAUGUACACUGAAGGACCAAAUGGGGGUGAACUCUUAGGAUGUAGUAAGUAUGCAGAGGAUUGCCUUAUCAUGAAUGGCCAAAAAAAAAUAAAAAAAAAUCACUAUUACAAAUCUGUCAAACCAAUUGCCACCUUGUCUACAAAUAGAAACUUUUGCUUCUCCAAGCGUAUCUGCUGAAUACAUGAAACAAAAUGUAAGUAUAAUACCUUUGAGAUUUGUUGCAAAGAAGUCAGUCCUUUCAUGAUUGUGUUUUGACAAAUUGUCAUUAGGUCUUACCUUCAGUCCUUUAUUAUUGUUUUUAUUUGUCAGCUAUUUCUCAUUUUGUAUAUAUUUUCUGUGCCAUGCAGCAAAAGAAAGAGCCAUAACCAGCGCCAGAAGCUAGCAGCCAUUCAGCGCACUGCCAAGAAACUGGAAGCUAAGAUAAAUCAGAAGCAUCCAGUUAGUCAAGGAAAUAGGAGAGGAGGUGGAAGAUGAACGUCUUCUUGUAGGUGCACAUAAUUUUGUGGUGUUAACUUAUAGGUUACUCAGUGAAUUUAUUAUGAACAAAAAAAAUGAUGUAUUUGCUUAAGGAUUGUUUCUUCAAUUUUGGAGCCCUCAAUUAUAAUUUUGAAGCAUUCCCACUAUAGUGCGGAUGAUCCCCUGUAGUCCUAACCAGGUAAAAGUCUAUGGUUAAGCAGGUAAAGAGGUUGGAAACCCCUUUACAUUCCUUCCUCAGAUGGCUUUGAUUUCUACUCUCUUGUAACAGUUCUUCAGCCCUUCUCAUCCGAAUCUCGUAUCUAUUUUUGGGAAGCAUUUUUUGGUGGUUAUAUAGCAAUUCUACUUGUGUUUCUGUUAAGAUCACAUUAAUGUGGUGAAUGUAGUGUUAAAGACUGUUUGUUAAUGUACUUGUGUGCUUUUCUUUUGAUGAACCCUUAAUUAUUAUUCACACAUGCUUUCUAGUAGACACCCAAAGGAGCUCCUCGAAAUGAAAUCAUCAGUGUGAUACGGAUGGUUUUAUGCUUUCUUAUAGAAGAAUUUUUAUGUAGAAUAGGCUGUCCAUCACAUUUCCAUGGCCCCAUAUGCAGAAUGCAGCCUCAAAGUUUUAGAACUUUGGGGUGGCUUGGGAUUGUUUUUGAAAACAGUUUAUAUUUUAGAACAAGAAAUGGCUUUCUAACCUGAAAAUUUAUAUUUGGCAAAGGUUUAAGAUGUUUUCAGAAGUUUGUGAAGUGUUUUAAGAAAUCAUGAAAUAUAUAUAAAAAAAUGUUUUAUAAAUUUUUACAUUGUAUGCAAAUUGGGUGGUGUCUUUAUGGAGACCAUGUUUUUUGUGGAUGAAUUCUUAACAAAAAUUUUGUUUCUAAAAACAUUUGAGAACCAUUUUUAAAAAUGCUUCCAAAUAGGCCACCUUGCUUUUCUCAUUCAUUGCUUUCUUCCAUGCAGAGAGAGAAUCCAUAAUGUUAUUUCCAGAAUGAUUCUGUAGGGUUCAUUAGCCUGAGAGUGAAUAAAAAUGGAACCUGAUAUUGAGAGUUAAGUAAGAAAUACCAACUAAUUGACUACAAUAUACUGGGUAUUUGAUCAAUAAGAAUAACCGAGAACAAACAACAGAGAGCACCUGAUGUACAAUACACUCACUCAGUCAAAGGUCUUACGGCAGGUCCAUAUCCUCAAUCAGUACUGGCAAAUUGAAUGCUAAUUAGCAGAUACAGUACGUAAUCAAAGAUUGUCUAAAGCAAAAAUCUCCAUUCCUGCACAGAAGACAUUGUGUUUUGUUCAUUUACAGAUUCUACAACAACUCCCAUCUGCAACUAAAUCAUUGGCAAGCUUCAAUAUCAUGAAGGAUUUAGGUCAUGAUCGGAACUGGAAAGCUUCUCAAUUCUGAAACCCAUCCAUUACCAGAUGAUUCAAACUCUAGCACAAGUUGAUCAUUCCCUUUUCAACUGAAGACAUCUUCAAAUACCCUUCUUUUUCAUGUAUCAGAUCUUUCCAGGUUUUAUGGGCUGUUCAAAAACAAAGACAAGAAAAGAGGACCUGGUCAACAAAAGAAAAGGAACUUUCAUGGCACCAACAUUGGAUGCCAUGAACCCUAAUCUAGUCAAAUAUUUAAAGACGCAAUAUGAUAUAAGUUUGUAUUGUAUUGUGUAUACCUUCUUAAGAUUCAACUUAGGUACAGUAGAACCGCUCAAUGAUGCUUUAUUAUCAACUGGUUUCAUUAUCUCAAAGGAGCAUACUAGAUCUUUAUCAACACUCAAAAGAGCACCGGCAUUAUCAAACUCUCCACCAUAGUUUGGUGCUGAAAAAAUUGUGACUAAUCGUCGUUUAGCAAAGAAUUCAUAUCCAUCCUCCACCACCUGCAAUUCAGCUUAGAACGAUUUUAGUCUGGACCACUUGUUUUUAGUAUGAUGUUAUCAGACACCAGUCCCUAGAUAUGACUCAAGCUGGCUGGUAUGAUACGCAUAUGAGGGUGUGGUACCCAUUCUUUAGAUGCAAUAGAUUACUGUUACAAGUAGCAUAGAGUAGUUAUAGGGCUCUUGUCAGUAGGGAUACAGCUGAAGCUGGUUGGUACCUACUAGGCAGUGGGAAGAUAUGGCAGUCAAUAAAGUUGAUUGAUGCUUGCUACAUUUUCCCGUCUUAUAAUAUCUUAAGUGUGCAAAAAAUGGAAUGUAUUACCAUUAUAGAAGGCUUCAAAUUGGAAAAAUUGUCGAAUGAUAGGUACUAUAAUGGUAAGUGGUUACAAACAUUGGUAAUAGCUUUUCUUUCUUUAGAAUAUUUAUAGAUGAUGUAAAGGUCCAGGGAUGCUUCCAAUAAUUAAUCUCUCAGUGCCCAUUUCUAAUACCAUGGUUGGAUUUAUUUCACAUAGAUGACUUUAUUUGGCUUUAAUGAAUUGGGAUGCUCUUAAAACAACUAUAUAGAACAAAGUAGGAAAAGUACAUGAAUGUUAUCAAGCAUUGUGAAUGAGAACUUUGCUUACCUGAUGACCUCGGCAAAUGAGAUCAAGAUCAUUCUUGUCCAAAAAUUCAGCAACCUUAUCAGCUCCAAAGGUACAAGAAACACCUCGAUCACUAUCUGCCCAACCAUCAACUCUAGCAUCAGGAUCAGACCAAAGCAGAUCACAAAGGAGACCGCUAUCUGGAACAUCAGUAGGUCUCUGAAUUUCCUUAAUUUGAUUCAAAUUUUGCAACUCGGGAGAGAGGCCCCCAUGCAUACAAAGUAUCUUUUCAUCAAUGAGUGCAGCCACAGGCAAACAGUUGAAGCAGUCGGUGAAUAUCUUCCAAAGCCUAACAUUAAACCUCCUUUUACAUUCAUCAUAAAAGCCAUAAAUCCGAUUGAUCUUUGCAUCUUCAUGGUUUCCCCUCAAGAGGUAAAAGUUGUCAGGAUAUCUUAUUUUGUAAGCCAGAAGCAAACAUAUUGUUUCCAGACUUUGCUUUCCACGAUCUACAUAAUCUCCAAGAAAGAGGUAGUUUGCAGCAGGAGGGAAUCCACCGUAUUCAAAUAGCCUCAAUAAGUCUUGGUACUGUCCAUGUAUAUCACCUGCAAAAGGCCUGCAAUAUUAGAAAAAAAUUCUACCAAAGAAUGAUAGGAUAGGAUAACAAUCGAUAUUAACUGCACGCUCCAGUGGCAAAUCAAGUGAGUUUGGGUAAGUGAUUCAAAAAGCCUCAAUUUGCACCCAAUGGUUGGUAAAUGAGCUGAGAAUUUAUGAAUCAAGAUAAAUCAAGGUGUACCAUUAAAGGAUAAGUGGGUAUCUUCAAGAGCUGAAUCAGGGAUGAAAUAAACCCAAAUCAGCUCAUCUUUAUGCUACAUUGUAAAUGCAAUGAAUUAAAUCUUAAUCCGAUCCAACAGGCAGUCUCCUAGAAGGAAAUUUGGCUCUAUUCCCCACAUGAGUCCUAGCACAAAAGAGUAGCCACUACAAUGCCUGUGCUAUUGAUUGCCAAUCAAGCCUGGACACAUGGGGAAGGCCCUAUAGCAGCGGCUCCCUUUUGAUGUGCGAGAUCGAGAUUCUACAUCAGCUUCAUCAAUAGAUGUUGUCGAAGUUGUGGUUGAAUCAUCCAUUUCAGUUGAAUCGAUGGAAGCCAAGUGUUCAGGAAGCUCACUCUCCCCCAAAUAGGAUAUUCCUGGCCAAAGGGAGAAAUGACUUUUCUUUGAAGUGAUUUUGGUUCAUCAUCAACAGGAGAACAUCUAUUUUUCAGCUCAUUUAUGGCAUUCGAAUUAUUUCUCCAGUUUCUAAACUUUUGGCACCUAGUACCGUACUGUAAAUCUUCUAUUAAUUUUUCCACAAACAUCAUUUCAUGAUCGAGAAUCAGGAUUAUAGAGAGAAGAAUCAACAAAAUUUUCUCCAAGGAUUCGAUGUCCUCCAUUCUUCUCUUGCAUGAAAAAAUAUACAGAUUUGAUGCUAAUAGAUGCACAUUUCUCUAUUUCCCAACAAUUUUCUCUUAGAUAUAUCAGAAAAAAAAUUGUUCAUAACAUUUCAGGAGAUAAUGGGUGGUUUCAUUUGAAAUUUUGAAUCACCCCAUUUGGUUGCCAAGUAACCAAGGAAAAUUGGAACUUCACAUCAAAUUUUUUUCCUGGUUUAUACUAAAUCAAAUCCCGAAUUAUUUUCCAGGGUAAGCUAAACUACAUGAAAUGUAAGGCUCCAAUUUCCUUUUUCCUUCCGUCUUCCCCAAGUUUCUUGGCAACCAAACAAAUAACCAGAAACAAAUAAAUACAGUAGCUUAGCCCAGUUACGCACAUCCAUUUACCUCCUCCCCAACCCAAAAAAUCGACAAAAAUGCAAAUUUCAAACCCUUCUUGUAAUCUUUGUAGCAAUUUUCUCGGCAAGCAAACAAAUAUCCAGCAAGAAAAAUAUACAGUAUUUUAGCAAAGUUAAGCCCGUUCUCUCAUUUCCUCCCAAAUCCAGAAAAAAAAAAGGGACAAAAAAAAAAGGGAAAAUAAAAAUUUCCUUUUUAUUUCGCCAAUUUUCUCGACCAAACAACCUCCCACGAACAAACAACAAGACAAGGCAAAACAAAAACAUGGGUAUCGCCCAUUGUAAUUGUACUCUUUCCCCCCAAUUUUCUCAGCAGCCAAACAACCACCAGGAAACAAAAAAAAAAAAAAAAGGAGAGAAAAAAAAAUCUCAAAAUGAAAACAUAGUAUUGCCUAUUGCAAUUGCACUCUUUCCCCCAAUUUUCCCGGCAACCAAACAAACACCCAGAAACAAGGGACACCAAAGCGGCACAAAACAAAACAUGGGUAUUGCAUAUCGUAAUUGCAGAAUUCAAAAUGAUUAUCAGGAGAGAGCUGACCAGCGAUCCGAAUAGGGGCAUGAAGCUGGAGGAGGUUGGGCUGAGAAAGAAAAACGUGGCGAGCGUUGACGCAGAGGUGGCGGAUCUCAGCCUCCGAAAGCUGUACCUGUUUGCCUCCUUUUCCAUCCAAAAGCCGCCUUAUGAUAUCUUCCAACACGCCCUUAUCCAUCAUUCCCUCCAUUGUCAUCAUCAUCAUCUGCUUCUUCAACUUCUCUUAAAAACAACCAAUUCCCAAGUUUCUACUGGGAGAAAGGCUUUGAAUUCCUGUCACGGAAUCCAAAGAAAUGGGCAGAAAAGUAAGAGAAAUGGGUCAAAACAAUCAAAUUUGAACGGAAAAGUGAGAGAAAUGGAUGAAAAGAAAGGAAAAAUGAAUAGGGAAUAGAGAGAAAUAGAUGAAAAUUUGGCUAUCUUUGAACUAAGGAUGGUGGGGAGAGAGAGAAGGGCAUCUGUUGAAUUGAGAGAUUGAUCGAAUGCCCACACUUUUAGAGAGAGAAAGAAGAGAGAGAAAGGCCACCUGUUGAAUUUUUUUUAGAGAGAGAGGGAAGAGAGAGAAAGUUUUAUCUGUUGGAAAUGAGUAGAAAAAAUCCUGUCAUUUUCUCAUGAUUGUUUUUUUUCCUUAAAAAAGUAAUCAUAUUUCUUUUUUCUUUUCUAAAAUUUAUUUUUAUAAACAUUAAAAUAUAAUUCAAUAUUAAAAUUUAGUUUUUAAUAUAACAAAAAAAAAUUAUAAUAUAAAAUCAGAAAAAAUAUAAAAUAUUACUUUAUACAUUUUCAAAAUUUUAUUUUUACAUGGAGACAAGUUUUAAAAAGUAUAAAAAAAAUUAUUAAGAUAAAUUAAUCAUCAUUUAUGCUUUGUAAAAUGAUGAUAUAUUUGAUAACUGUUUUUUAAAAUAAUUAUAAAAAAUAGCUUUUAAAAAUUGUUUUUUGAUGUUUUGUAAAAUUAAAAUUUAUUUGUAAACUUAAAAUAUUUUUACUCAAUUUUAAAUAUUUUUAAAAAUAAUCUUUAUGUCUAAUAUUUUAUUUUUCAUUAUUCUACAUAUUUAUACAAUUAUUUUUUAAAAUAGAUCUCAAAAAAGUGAAAACAAUUAAAAAAUAUUUUCUAAAAACACAUCUUUUUUUGUUUUUGGUUUUUGAUUAUUAAAUAUAUUUUGUUCUCCGUAACAAAAAAACACAAGAAACAAGUUUAAUAAUAAAAAACUUUUUUUUUUCGUUUUCUAUUCUUAAAAUAAAAAAUAAGGUGUUCUCAAAAAAUAUCUUUUAGUUUUUUUUCCUAUUAUUUUAAUUUGUUUUCUUAGGGGUGUUUUAAAAAAUAAUUGCACAAAUAUGUAGAAUGAUUAAAAAUUAUUUUUCAAAGAUUAAAAAUAAUUGCACAAACAUUAGAGAUAAAAAUUAUUUUAAAAAUAUAUUUUAAAAUAUUAAAAUUAAGUUAAAACCAAAAUCAGAAAACAGUUUUCAAAAACCAUCUUUUAAAAUUAUUUUAAAAAAUAAUUACCAAAUAGACUUAAUUUAUAUCUCAUGUGUGGUUUAUAUUUUUAUAUCAAAGUAUUCGUUUUUAAUAUACUUUAAUUUUAUUUAUUUAUAUACUAAUAUCGUGACCAUAAUUUACUUUAAAUAAUUUAUAAUUAAAAUUUGAUAUUAUAUAUAUAUUUUAUUUAUUAUUCCAAAGAAAUAUAUGUAUACAUAAUUAUUUCCUUUUUCAUCCUCCCUAGUGAUAGAAUUGAACACAACAAUUGAAAACUUUAAAAGAGGAAAUGGUGGACUUGGUUGGAAGACCCUAAAAUCAGGCGUGACAGGUGGACAGAUGGGAGUGGUGGUCACGGUAAUAAGGAAAGACACUGGAGGUGAGAUUAGUCUUCAAACCGCGUUACCCCUUUAAGAGCGAUACCCCACUCCAUACACCACCAUUAUUAUCCAUUUUGGUAGAUAUGCCUUCCCAUUUACUUCACAUCCAACUCACCAAACUCACUUUUUAUUUUAUUUUAUUUUAUUUUAUUUUAAAUUUCUAAAAAUAAAUUAAUAAAUUUAUAAAAAUAGUAAUUUUUAUAAAAGAAAAUAUGAAUUUAUCUUAUAUUCUUAAAAAUUAUUUUAAAAAUAUUGGAUAAUAAAAUUUUUUUAGUACCUUAAUUUUUUUUAAAAUAAUAUUUUACAAAAUAUUAUAUUUUUAAUGUAUAUCUCUAUAUAAAAUUUAUUAUUAUUAUUAUUAUUAUUAUUAUUAUUUUUAAAUAGAAUAUAACAAGUCUAUUCAAAUGAUGUCUUAAUUUUCACUUUUAAUUAUUUUUUUAUUUUAACUAUUUGUACACCUCUCAAUUAAAAUAACUAUUGUCCCAUGACUCCCAUCCAUGAAUUUUUUCAAAUUAUUCUUAAAAUUAUUUCCUAUCAUGAUUACUCAUUUAAAAUCAUCAUUUAUUUAUUUUUUGAUAUUUACCUAGUACCAAUCAAUUAAGAACUUGACCAAAAUAUAAAGCAAGUUAACAAAAAAAUAAUGAAGUGUUUUCUUUUUCUAUUAUCAAUGAUCCAAAUAAGUUGAUAUAUUAAAAUCUAAUCAAGGGUAUGAUUAAGGUAAUAUUUGCUUUUUUACUUAAUUUUAAUUAAAAUUUUAUAUUUAAAAUUAAAUAAUACUUAAUAUUAUUAAGUAUUAAAUUAUUUUUUUUAAUAUUUUAUUUCUAUUGAGAAAUAAAGAAAAAUCAACAGAUAAUUUUAAGUUAAAUAUUUUGAUUUUUUUAUUUAGUAAAAAUUUUAAGAAAUAAGCAAUAAGUUAAUAAAAAAUGAAAAAAUAAACUAUCAAAUUACUUUAGCAAAAAUAUUUUAAAAACAAAUAUGAAUAAGGUUAUAUAUAUUAGUAUUAAAUUAUUGAUUGUUUUUGGUAGGACACGAUUUUUCAUAAUUUUCCACAAGAAGCUAUCAUGGGGUGAACAAUGGGGUAAUGAAGUCAAGCCAAUGUUGGUAGGGCUAUUACUCCAUUUACUCUUGCCUUUAAUGAUGGGGUGAGUUAGUUGAAAAUUUUAUAUGGCAAGUAAAUUCUUUGCCAAACCUAUGGAGGACCAUGUAUUUUUGUCUUUCAAAAUAAAUGUGUCUUAAAAUGCCGAAAAAGAAUCACUAGUGUUGAUUCUCAACAAUAAUCAAUCCUUUAGGUAGUCACUUUAAUGCGUUUUGUUCUUAAUAUUUUUAUUAAAAGGUAAGUUCGACGAGGGUGUGCUUUGUAUAGACCUCUUUGAUGUCUAAGUCAAUUUAGAGGAUUUAUUGUCCAUACCUCUUUUAUUUUUAGCUUUCUUCUUUUACUCAUAGAAGGGUACCUACUGGGAUGCCCCAUGAGCGAUGCUUAAGUCAAUUUAAAGGAUUUAUUGUUUAUACAUUUUUGAUUUUUGAUUUUCUUUUUCUACUCAUAGAAGGGUACUUACUCAGAUACCUCAUGAGCAAUACCUAAGUCAAUUUAGAGGAUUUAUUGUUCAUACCUCUUUUAUUUUUGGCUUUCUUCUUCUACUCAUAGAAGGGUACUUGCUCGGAUGCUUCAUGAGCGAUGCCUAAGUCAGUUUAAAGGAUUUAUUGUUCAUACCUCUUUUAUUUUUGGCUUUCUUCUUCUACUCAUAGAAGAGUACUUACUCAUAUGCCCCAUGAGCGAUGCCUAAGUUAGUUUAGAGGAUUUAUUGUUCAUACCUCUUUUAUUUUUGACUUUCUUCUUCUACUCAUAGAAGGGUACCUAUUCGAUGGCCCAUGAGCGAUGUCUAAGUCAAUUUAAAAGAUUUAUUGUUCAUACCUCUUUUAUUUUUGACUUUCUUCUUCUACUCAUAGAAAGAUACCUACUCGGAUGCCUAUUGCCAAGGGUGUCCACAACUAGGUUUGACAAAAAUCAUUUUUCUUUAUUAUUUUUGAAAAUACAAUUCUAUCUAGAAACUCAAUUAUAAAAAACAUAUGAAAAUUCUAUGCUUUUAUGUGCAAUACAAUGUUUUUAACUUAUUUUAUUUUAUGUUUUUAAAACUCGUUUUUUAAAAUCUUCCACAAAAAACCAUUGUGACAAAUACAUCAAAUUUGUUCUAAAAGAUCACUUUGUUUAUCAUAAUGAAUAAAAAAAAAAAUCAUUUUCAACUUAAAAUUUGUUAAGCAUAUUCUGAGCCCGAAAAUUUGUAGCAUAUAUAACCAUUGGUAGAAGGGUCCUCUAAGAACAAAAGGCUAACCAGAGUCAGCAGUGGGGGACUUGGAUUAUAUACGGGUCUUUGUUGGUUUCUUCUAGGAAGAAUUUUGAGGGAAUUUCUCAGCACCUUCUUACUUCCACCAAUGUGAUGUUUGCCUGCUCUUUUAAAGUCUUGGUCUCUUAGAAGUCAAGAAAUACUUGAAAAAUGAGGAAGUAUUCGGUACCUCUAUCGUAUAGUUUUGUUUUCCAUCGGGUCUUUCCGGUAUAAUUCUUGGUUAUUGAGAAUUUAAUCAAAUAAUGCAUAUUAUUGGUUGUUAGGUAUUAUAGGCCGAGUUUUUUUAGGUAUUGACAUGUUCCGUAACAAGUUUGAUAUAAAUAUAAACAAGUCUGGAAUGAGUUUGAGAAUUUUGUUUGACUUUAUUCAAUUUUUUUGUGAUUAUAUAUAAUAUUAAAUAAAAAUAUUUUAAUUAUUUUUUUUAUUUUUUAACUUUUUAAAUAUAUAUAAAAUAUUAUUUUUCUUAAAAAAUUAUGAUUAUUUAUAAUAUUUAUUAGUUUAUAAAUUGUAUUGAUUUUUAAUGCAAUUUCAAAUUUUAAAGUAAAAAAAUUUAAAAAAAGCUAAAUAGGGUAAGUAUGAGAAUUUUUUAUACCCUCGCCAUCCUACCAUGUUUAAUUAUUCUUUUUUGGUAAGGAUAAGGAUGAAUAUAAAUAAAUGAGAUAGGAGGACAGGUGAUCUGAACUUACCCAGUUGUCAUUCCCAAUAAUUAUAGUAUAAUAUAUAUUAAAAAAUGAUAUCCAAAAUUCAAUUUCUUUAAAGCUUAACUAUGAUCGAUUAAUUUUCACUUUUUGAUUUGCCUUAUAAAGUUUCUAAUCAAUCAAGAUAAAUCAAUAAUAAUCAUUAUAUAUAAUAGCACCAAAUAAUAAAAAAUCAUCUAUAGAGAUUAUUCAAUAGUUAUAGUUAUAAAAGCCACGAGUUUAUGCAUGUAGAAAUCUCUUAAACAUGAAAGAAGUAUAAAUAGAUCCUUGAACUUCCCCUUUUCUCAUUGAAAGGGCUUCCAAGAAUCUCUAAAUGAAAUCUUAAUUUUAAGAGUUCUCAAAGCUUUUUUAUUUUUUAUUUUUUUUUAUUUACAAUAAAAAUGAGUUUUUUUCAAACCUUUUUAUACUAAAACCUUAGGUUUUUAAUUAUAUCAAUCUAAGAAAAUUAAGAAAAUUUCAAUAAUUUUUUAAAAAAUUUUGAAGCAUAAAGUGUGGGCACUUGAGUGCUACCUAGGGUGAUGCUCAAGCGGUCUUGGGUACUUGAAGUAGCUAAAACAAGAGUUGAAGCUGCAAGAACUGGAGUUAGAAGGGCAGCAAGAACUGGAGUUAGAAGGGCAGCAAGAACUGGAGUUAGAAGGGCUACAAGAACUAGAACAACCUGUCUACCUCAAUAGUGAUGAGCAGUGCAGAGAUAAUAGUUAGAAUGACAAAAUCUCCUACAUAAGUAUAUCAUACGUGUAGUCUCUCGUGACACUAAAAAUUAGAUGCUUGAUGUCUUUCUCGUGCCUCAUCUAAAUGACAUGAAUAAGUUAGGUGGCUAGAUGUUAGACAGAGCAAGAACAUUGGGAAUGAACAUUAGGGCUUGAGUAACAUUCGAUCUCACAUGGGGAGCACAACAAAUAUGUUGGGAUAUAUUUUCUCAUGUGAAUCAUGAUUAUCUGAUAGUCAAUGUUACGAUUUAUCGUAGGCCUCAUUCAAUAUGUAAACAUACACAAUAAUGCACUCAUCGUGAAAAACUCAUCUUAUUAACUAAGAUAAGUCAUCCCUCUAAUAAAGAGGUAGUAUAUUAUAAUUUCAAAUGGAUUGCUUGAUUCCAUGAAUUGAUUGUGAUUAGUUUAUCAUCUUGUAAGGACUCCACGAUUUGGGUUUUUUGUGCAGUUUCUAACAUACCAAAGUCAUGUACAAUUAAGGAUAAAAGGAAGACCAUAAAAUUAUAAAAUAUAAAUAUAUUAAUGAAAUAUGAUUCUAUUACAUCAUGUUAUGCUUUCAAAGGUUCUAUCCUAACAAGAUAAACUUUAUAAUAAUUGUCAAAGUCACCCCAUAAUAACUCACAAUUAAUUUGAUUUCCAUUUAGCCAAAUUUAUGUUUAAUAUAACUUUUCAACUUUCUUGUGUGUAUCCAUAUAAAUCAUACGACUAUAAUCUUUAUUGUUUAAGGGUAUUUUUUUUUACUUUUAAUUUGUUGUGGCUAUUAUUAAUUUUCAUGAAAAACAUUUUCAUUCUUUUUAGCCUUUAAAACAUUUAGAGUGUUCUCAAUUUUUGAUAACCGUGGAUGUCUGGGUCAACUUACGCACACCUUGACUAAUCUCACGGGACCCUGAAGUUAACGACCGGAUAAGCCUCUAGUGGCCCUGAAGUUAGGGUGUUCUCAAUUUUUGUAAUUAAUCGACCAAUUGAUUCUUUGUAGAGAUAUAUUUUAAUGAAACAAUUCUACUUUCCACUAAUGAAAUGAUGAUGAGUGUCAAAGUGUUCAGUCCUAGAGUGGAUGACAAUUUUUUGAGAUGCUUAUAGAUUCAAAUUAUCAUACCAAAUGGACUUGGUAUCAGACCUUCAAUCCAUAGUCUUAAAAUUUUUUUGCUUUAACCAUAGAAAUUGAGUGCAAUUGCUCCUAUUAGCCAUGGAUUCAACCUCACCCUUGGAAAGAGAAAGAGUAAUGCUUUUUGCUCAUCCAAGCCAACAAACAAUUCCCCACAAAGAAGCAUGCACCAAAUGUGUUCUCCUUCAACUCAAACAUGUUUGUAUAAGACUUGAUGGUACUGAAAUAGUUUUGGACUAGUGAUUUUUGAAGCAAAAUUAUCAAACUAAACUAACACAUUAACAAUAUGUACAAGGAGGAAAUAAAAAAAUCCAACCAAUUUUUGGUUAUUGUUUAGUCUUCAGUUGAAUUUGCUAUUGUCCCUUCUAAUGUAAUUUAGAGUUUUUUGGGUUAUUGAAAGAGAUAUCGAAUGAUCAAAAUUUCAAAAUUAUCAUAUUUGUAAACUAAAUUCUCAAAAAACUAUUUUCGGCUAAAAAUUUGCCAAACAUUUUUUUAAAGUUAAAAAUUGUCUUCUUUUUUUAUUUUAAUUUCAAGAACUAUUUCCCAAUAGAUUAUUUUGAUUUUGAAUUAUUUUCACUUCCAUUUUUCUUGAAUUCUAGGGUUGAAACACUUAUACUACGUGUUUGCUUAGGUUGUAUACCUUCUAGCAUUUCUUGAUGAAGUAGUGUUAAGGCUUUGCUUGACUUCUUUCAAUGUUUUAGCACCAUUUGUUUUCUUAAAUGAAGUUUUAUUUUCAGAUAUAUUGUGUGAAAGCAAAAAGUUAAGUUAAAAUUUAUAACUUUUAUCUAAAAUAUGAAGUCAAUGAUGUUAAUUCUGAGCCAACCGGAGUCAAGUCUGUUGAGGGGAGCCCCCUACAAAUGAUACUCUUAAAUCGAUGUUUAUCUUGAUUUAAGACAAAUUUAUGACAAAUUUAGACCUAUUCAAACUUUAGGUGCCAUCUAAGUUGGCUAUGUUACCAUGCCAAUGUCCACAAUUUUAUAUCUAGCAACAGGGUUAACUUAUUCUAUAUAGUAAUAAGUACUAAUGCAUAAUUUGUAUAAGAAGGGAAACUAGGUCCACAAAAUAGCCCUAGAAAACUCACAAACAAGCAUUCCAAGGCAGGAAAAAUGGGUUUGUUGCUUACCAAUUUUAUAACCCUAAAGAAUGAAGAAACAAACACUUUCCCUCCUUUGUUGGCAAGCUGCUUUUCAAGAAAUAGAGAGGUUGUGCAGGUAUAAUUCAUAUCAAAACAAGCUUAGUAUUUGGUGUCAAAAUCAUAACUACAAUCCAAAUUAAGCAUCAAACUUGGCAUUUUCCAAUAUAUUUCACUAUCUGUUAAAACAAAUGGAGCCCAAUUGUAACCAAUAAUCAACCCUUAUUUCUCACAAACCUUAAUCAGAUCUCACCAUCACUACAAUCAGAAGCAGCCAAUUCUAAGAACAAAACCGUAUCAAUAUUUGUACUAACCCCACUACAUUCAUAUCCUCAAUUCCAUAGAUAGAUCAAUAGAGAUGAAAUUAAGAACAAAUUAACAUUGGAGUUUCAGAUUCAAACAAAUUUCAGCCCUAUGACUUUUUUUUUUCCAUCAUCAAUGAGAAUAUGCAUUUGGGCAUCCCACAAAUCAACUAAAAACAACAAAAAGUCAUCAAGAUAAGCACAACCCAGAUCGAUUAAUCCAACAGACAAUUAAAAAAAAGUUCAAGGACACCAACUAUCUGAAUUCAAUUCCCCUAAUGAGAAGAAACAAAAGGGUUUGAUCUAAGCUUGUUUACUUGCCUAUUACCGCAAUUCAAACCACACCCACAUUGAGGGCACUCCUCAAAGUUGUCAAUUGAGAACCCAGCUGAUGCGAUCCCCACAGAGAAAUCGAUGUCAUCGCCGCUCCGGCGGACCUCUAUUAUGUCCACCCAUAUAAAGAACAGCUUCACGCUGACACCCUCCAAGCUUGAUAGCUUGCCUUUUGAUAUGUUACCUUUGAUGGUGGACUUGUACUUCAAUUGGUACGAGCCUUCAAGAGAAAAGCUGCAGCUACCAUUGAAAGAGGCUGAGAAUUUACCCGUGGAGGUGUUCAGAUCAUAGCCUAUGACCCCUUUUGGAAGAAGGCCGACUGGGAAGUUGUAGUCCUGAAGAACCUCAUAAACUGUUGGGGAGUCAUUGGAGGAGCUGGCUGGAGUUGAAUGUAUGAGGAUUAGGCAGAGAGUUGCGGCUAGAGAAAUCAAUCUUUGGGUUUUGGUUGAAACCAUCUCUGUCUAUCUCUCUCUCUCGUCUUCUUCUUCUUCUUCUCUUUAGGUUUUCUUCUUCGCUUUACUUUCUCUUCUUCUCUAUUGUUUCACCUAACCGUCAAUUGAAAGGUAGUUGGAGGUGGAAUCUAACAGGUUUGGCCACUUGUAGCCCUGCAUAUUGGGGUGGGCUAGGCUGGGGUUUGCCUAGAUUGGGUUGGGCUAAUAUUGGGCUCUGAGUGGUUCCGGAUCAACCCCUAUGGGCUUGGAGUUACCUGGGCUGACGAGUACCCAAAGUAAAUUGGUUUCAUCCACCAGCAAGAUGCACCAAGCCUAUAUAUAAAACCUAAUUUACGAUAUAUGGUGCUUGAUGAAUGGUCCAUUUACUUGUAUCCACACAUUGUUUCAAUCAAAUUUAAUGUUAUAAUUUCAAUUUGAGAUGUUGCAUGUAUACAUAAAUAAAAGGAAGAAAUUGAGUCAAACAAAAGUAAAAACAAACAUGACAUUACUUUCCUUUGAGCAUUCAUAAGAUCAACUAAGAACAACAAUAAUUAAUCAAAAUAAGCAGUACCCACAUGGAUUAGUCCAACAAACAACUCAAGGAAAUUCAACUACACUACUCAUCUCAAUUCAAUUCAAUUCCCUUCAUAAGGAUAAAGGAAAGGGUUUGUUCUAAGCUUGCUUACUUGCCCACCACCACAUUGGAAGCCACACCCACAUUGAGGGCUCUCCUCAAAGAAGUCGAUGGGAAAUGCGGAGGACAUAACCCCCACAGAGAGAACAAUAUCAUCUUCGCUCCGGAGGAUCUCUACUAUCUCCAUCCACACCAAGAACAGCCUCGUGUAGACGCCCUCCAAGCUAGAUAGCUUGCCAUUUGAUAUGUAACCUUUGACAGUGGGCAUGUACUUCAACUGGUAUGAGCUUUCAAGAGAGAAGCUGCAGGUAUCAUUGAAAUAGACUGAGAAUUUACCUCUAGUGAUGUUGAGGUCGUAGCCUUUGACCCCUUUGGGAAGAUGGCCAACUGGGAAGUAGUAGUCCUCAAGAACCUCAUAUGCUGUUCGGCUAUCAGUGGAGGAGUGGGAUGGAGUUGAAUGUAUAACGAUUAGGCAGAGAGUUGCUGCUAGAGAAAUCUAGCUUUGGGUUGUGGCUGAACCCAUCUCUCUCUCUCUCUCUCUCUCUCUCUCUCUCUCUCUCUCUCUCUCUCUCUUUCUUCUUCUUCUUCUUCUAUCAAUCAUGUAUAUUAGGGUUUAGGCCUAGGGUGUUGUGGAUGAUAACCAAUGAGAAAAACUAGGCUAUUGAAUGAUUUUCUCUUGGUGCAUGAGAAGAAGAAGCUAUAUCAAGAUGUAACAUUUAUGUAUCAUUAUUUUAGUAAUCCAAAAGACCAUGAAAAUUUACAACACAUCGUAUUUGAUGAUUAGUCAAAUAUUUUACUCAGGAAUGAAAUUUACGACACAUCGUGCUUGAUGAUUAGUCCAUUUUACUUGACUCCAACACAUUGUUUUAAUAGCGCACGUUUAACCGUUAUUUUUCAAUAUAUACAUGGAGAGGAUGAUGAAAGCUAAUGCAAUAUCUAAAAUUAGAUUUUAAAGUUGUCCUUUGAAAUUGGUUUUGUGUCUACAACACAAAACAUCUAACCUACAAAAUCCAUGAUAAACUUUUGAUAAAUUGGUUUUUUGAGAAUUUAUUACCGAAACAUGUUUUUGAGAAUAAAUUUGAGGUGAUUUCAAUUUUCUUUUAAAGCAUUUUGAGCAAUGAUUCAAAAUAUAAAGAAUACUACAUAUAUAUAUAUAUAUAUAUAUAUAUAUAUAUAUAUAUAUAUAUAUAUAUAUAUAUAUAUAUAUAUAUAUAUAUAUAUGUGCACAUAAUACCUUUAUGGAGGAAAAAAAAACUAAUUUUCAUAUUUGGGUUUUAAACAAAAUUUUAUCUUUUAAAAUAAUUGAGAACUAUUUUAAAAAAUUACUUUUUAAAAACAUAGCAAACCAAAUUCUUGCAAUUCAAUGAACUAGUCUUUCAUGAGGAUGGGCCAAGUGCCAAAUUACUUAGCUACACCAAAUCAUCAAUGUCCCCAUUUUCCAAGAUUUCACUCUCUUAGAAUAUGUUUGGUUCCUGAAAAAUGUUAGGGAAAGGAAAAAAAAAUGUUGUGAAAAAUCAUUUUCCUUAGUUUGGAUGACAUGGAAAAUACCAUGGAAAAAAAACAUAAAGGAAAAUGCUAAUGGAAAUAUUAUAAUAUUUUUCCUACUACUUUUCUUAAAAAAUAAUGAGGAAAAUAGGAAAGAAAUGGAAGGGAAAAGUUGGGGGAAAUUUUAUCGGGCUCACUAUAUCAUCUUUAUCGAGUCUCUUUGUUUGCAUAACCUCUUUAUCAGUCACUAUGGCUUCUCACCAUUAUUGGUCCUUUCAACGACCACCACCAUCACUUUGAUCACUUUCCAGUACCUCUGACAACCUACCAUCUUCGAGCACACGAGUUCCCAUGGAUGAAAUGUGUUCUUCAAAUCGAGUUCCCAUGGAUGAAAUGCAUUUUUCAAAUCUAGUGAAUGUGUUUGCAUCCAUGUCUUUAGAUCAGGUAUGAAUUGUCAAAACUUUGGUUUCUUCAAAUUUGUGGCCUCUAUUUGACUUUAUUUUUCAUGGAGAAUUCAAGGUUUACAGAGAAGUUGGGCUCUCUCUGGUCUUUCUCCAAUGUUCUUUCUUCGAGAAGUCAAACUAUGGUUUCUGAUACUAACGAGAAAGCCACUCAAUUCUUUGUCAAUCAUAGUUCCAAAGUAGAGCCAACCAAACCCCUAAGCCUUAUUGUUGAGAAUAAGAAGAAUCAAAUUGAGAAUACUAAGGUUCUAGACCAACUCCAAAGUGUUGUAAUUGUGGUGAGUUUGCUGCUGAAACCAAAGCCCAGAUAGCAAAAACAGAGGUCUUGGAAGUGCUGCUACUGAUGAAAGAAAAAAGGAGGAGAAGGAGCAAGAAAAUCUUUGAGUCUUGUUUGAAUCAAAGGAAGGGUUCUUAGGAAGUUUAAUUUACAAACGAAGGGGCUUGAUCAUAUGGGUUUUUCUAUGAAUGUGGUUUGUGGGAAUGAGGUAGUUGAGGAAACGUCUAGGUAUUGUAGGGAACCCCCUAGACGCCCACGUGGCAACCUCGCACGACAUACCCCCAGGCAACACGUGGCAUACCAGCUCCCUAUCCGGGUCCUCUCAAGGGGGCACACAACACCCUCAAAUCCUCUACCUGGACGAUGCUCUCCCGUGUCCGGAUGUGUUGUCCAGACUUAUGAAGCCUUGGCUGUAAAAUGCGGGCCCAGUCACUUCAGAUAGC
rnacentral:lncRNA from 1 species